UGGCUCAGGGGUUAAGAGCACUGGCUGUUCUUCCAGAGGUCCUGGGUUCAAUUCCCAG
rnacentral:tRNA from 1 species